rnacentral:rRNA from 1 species
CCUACGGGGAGCUGCAGUGGGGAAUAUUGCACAAUGGGGGAAACCCUGAUGCAGCGACGCCGCGUGAGUGAAGAAGUAUCUCGGUACGUAAAGCUCUAUCAGCAGGGAAGAAAAUGACGGUACAUGACUAAGAAGCCCCGGCUAACUACGUGCCAGCAGCCGCGGUAAUACGUAGGGGGCAAGCGUUAUCCGGAUUUACUGGGUGUAAAGGGAGCGGAGACGGCAGCACAAGUAUGGAGUGAAAUCCCGGGGCUUACCCCCGGAACUGCUUUGGAAACUGUGCGGCUGGAGUGCAGGUGGGGUAAGCGGAAUUCCUCGUGUAGCGGUUAACUGCGUAGCUAUUAGGAGGAACACCGGUGGCGACGGCGGCUUACUGGACUGUACCUGACGUUGAGGCUCGAAAGCGUGGGGAGCAAACCGGAUUAGAUACCCGGGUAGUC